GACGCCUGAUUCCCUAUUCUCCAAAUCUACCAGGACGCUCCACUCACCGCCUAGUGGUGUGCGUGCACUGUUACCAUGGAAACUGCCUGUGGUCAGAAGCACCCUGGCUUCGCCCUGGCCUCACCUCAGCUUUUAGCAGUCUCCUGUAUCAGGUGGCAGGUACAGACCCUGAAGGAGGCUGCUCCAGAGAGGAAGUCCGAUGUGGCAGUUACAUCUCGGAUGCAAGGCAAUUGAUAGACCUACAAGAAUCUUCGUGGAAUUGAUUUGCUGAAGAGAGGCUCCCAGGACAGGAGGGAAGAGGGAAAGAAGGAAGCCAAGCAAGGCUGAAACGUGAAAGGGAAGCUUCAGCUUUCACCACAUUAUCCCACACAUCGUGCUGAAGACAUGCAAACUAUACCAGAGCUUGAUUGACCUCAGCCAGUUUAUAAGUCGAACCCUGUGGGAGCAGGAAGAGUCUCUCGUGUUGGGUAAGACUCCAGAUAGAAGACAGAGAAAUCAAGACGAAUGGAUGUCGCUCGUUUUCCAGCUCAUCGAAAGAAUUGUCUAAAACACGGCCAUUGCUUCCCACAUUUCCGCUUUAUUAUGUAAGUCUGUGGAAGAUUUAUUUCAGAUGCGGUGGGGUUGCUGAGACUUUGCUGGUACAACGUGAGCUGUCCGGCCUUCCUUCCGCCCUCCCUUCCUUCCUUCCUUCUUCCUUUCCAUUUGCUUAUCCAUAGGCAUAUUAGAUGGGAGGUCGAAGAACAGACUAAAUAUAUUUAUAUAACUAGGCAGUUUGUAAAGAGGGAAUG